rnacentral:lncRNA from 1 species
AACUUGCUGAGGAACGAGUGGGAACGAUUUGGAAAGUGAAAGGUCAGCAGAAGAAAGACAAGUGUCCCACGCCUCCCCUUCCCACUUCCCCACCCCCAGGUGCACACCCUGCACCAGUCACCAUCCUUGGGUGUGAGUGGAGAGGGGGCUCCUUGAGGUCCCGGCGGGCAGGGCUCUGACUCCCGGCUCCCUCUUCUCUGAAAUGGAUGUGGCCCCGUGGGGACACAGUGGUCCCUGGACUGUUUAUCCUGCAGAAGGCACUCGCCGCGUACGCCUGAUGAGUACUUGUGCCGCCGACAAGCUAAAUCUUGACUUUUAUUUCCUUCGCUUUGAUUUCCAUUCAAGUGGCCACAUGUGGCUAGUGGUUGCCAUGCUGGACAGCGCAGAGCUGGAGGGAAAGAAGCAGAGCCGCUGGUGCAGUGCCAGCUCCCCCCUCAGCUACCAGAUAAUUCCUCUGGACCGUGGUGCUUAAGAGAGACUGGUUCCCCCAAAGAGGAGUGUCUCCCCAAGGUAUUAAAUCUGGAAGCUGGGGAAGGAAAAGCCCACACUUUUGCAAAGAAAUUGAGAUAAUUGAGGCUUGAAAUUUUCACUGAGGUGAAACAGAGCCUUCCUUCAUUAUUAACAAACAGGCUUUUGGAAGGAAAACAGGGGACUAAAUGGAAAGGCCUGCCUUUUCCUUUUUUAACCCUUCUUCAUCCACCAGGGACAAAUUGCAGAAAAGUCUGGGAGUGUCCAAGGACUUUUUGUGUGUGCAUAGGAAAAGAGAGGAGUGAACAGUGAAUAGACAAUUAGAUGCUCAGGUUCUCAGACUGGCUGUGGUCUGCCUGCCUUCUGCUUUGGCAUCGGCUGAACCACAGCUUACCUGGGACGUGGGGAGAAGACAGGAAUGAGAACCAGUUGGGUUUGCCUUCGUUGGCCGUGUUCGGAAGAGGGUCUGGUGGGGGGGUGCCUGAGACUCCCCAAAUAUGGAAGAUCUCAGGUAGCCCUACACCCAGUGCCAUUUGGCGUUGGUGCAUUCACCAUGUUUGUCUAAGAAAACUGCUCUGUUUGGGAAGGUUCUUUGUACUGAUUGGCCAGCAUCCGUCACUGGACAUCUGCUGAGUAAUUAGCUUUGUGUUUCAUGAGAUUCAGCAGAAGCAUGAUGUAUUACUAAGGCACAUGGCACUGUGGAGUAGAAAAGAUAAAAUAUAUACUCUUGGAUGAAAUGGCUGCAAAGGUGCCAUCCUUGAUCUUUCUUGGAACAAAAAUGUUAUUAGAGGAGUUCCUGUGGUGGCGCAGUGGUUAACGAAUCCGACUAGGAAGCAGGAGGUUGCGGGUUCAGCCCCUGGCCUUGCUCAGUGGGUUAAGGAUCCGAUGUUGCCCUUAGCUGCGGUGUAGGUUGCAGACGUGGCUCGGAUCCUGUGUUGCUGUGGCUCUGGCGUAGGCCGGUGGCUACAGCUCAGAUUCGACCCCUAGCCUGGGGACCUCCAUAUGCCGCGGGAGCGGCCCAAGAAAUGGCAAAAAAAAAAAAAAAAUGUUAUUAGAGGAGUUCCUGUGGUGGCGCAGUGGUUAACGAAUCCGACUAGGAAGCAGGAGGGUCUGGCCAGAGGGAAAACGGGGCAGACAGAGUUAAAAGUAGCCAGCCAGAGUCCAGAGACUGUCCUGGGAACCUGGCAUGCCUGCCUGCCUGUCCCUCCCCUUGAAGUUGGCUCCCAUCACUGUUCUUUCUGGCACACGCCUUUGGCCGGUAUCUCCACGGGUAGCACUCUCCAGCUUGGCUGUGGUGGCAGGGCUGGUGUGCACCCUCCGUUCACGCCGUGGGCCACGGCCCUUAGCCAAGGCCGGGCCGUCCCCUCGUCCUGGGUGCUGAAUGGGUACCACCCCAUCCCCCUCUGCAGUCCUAGCCCCACUGCUUCACCUCUCUUCCCAGACAAGCUGCCAUGACAACCACUGGCCCCAGGACCCAGCAGGGUAGCCAAAGGAUGCUUUAUUGAAAGACGAGCUUUUAAUAAAAGUUAAGUCCCUUCUGAAACAAAAAUGGAGCCCGUGGUCUCCCAGCGUCCAGGAAUGUCUCCGUUUUGACAUGUCAAAAGGACACAGCAGCCAGCUUUGAAAGGAGCUCUCACUGGCCAAAGCUGGGACCAUUUGAAAUGAAAAGAAGUGAUGACAGUAACAGGUUAUAAUCCACAGAAUCAGAAUCUGUGAGUCUCCGUUUGAGUAAAUGAAUGAGUGAACGAACGAGAUGGAAAUAACUCUUCCUUUGAGUAGGAGAGAUGGUGAAUUUAGAAAAAUCACCAUAUGGCCACCAUGGUAAUUGUUUCAAGCGAGAACCAUAAAUAAUGCUACAACUAGGGGCUGAAUGGUUGAUGAACAGGCUGUUUACACACCCUCAAAGUAUAUUCCCGCAGGGUACUUAUUCAGUGACAAAGGAAAGAGGAGUGGCCUUGACAGUGAGGAAGCUGGCUGGCCCCACCGUGACUGAGGGUGGUGAAGGGUCAAGUUGGCAUCGUGCCUCCCGUUGGGACGCCACAUCACUUCCGGGGUUGUCCUGUCAAGAGGGAUCGUCAGGGCAACCCCAGCGGAGGGGCAGGCUGCAAAAUCUGGCCCGCAAGUCCGUGAAGGCAAAGCAAGACAGAGCAGCUGCCCCAGGUGGGAGGAGACUAGAGGGACACAACAGGUAAGUGCAGCCUGUGGUUCUUCUUAUCCUAUAAGACACGAGGAAGACUAGGAGCAAAGCGCCUAAGGUCUAUGCAUUCGACACCAGUGCUGUGAGCGUUGUUAAUUUCCGUGUUUUGACACCUUGGCGGUGCUUGUGUCAGAGAGUGUCCUUGUUCUUAGGACCGCAGGUAUAAAAGGGCACCAUACCUGCAUUUACCUGGAAGAGGCACAGGGCACCCCCUGGGGUGAGGGCAUUCUCUGUCCCCCCAUAGGGCUGUGGGUCACAGGGGCAUCUCCAUUUGUUGAAACGUACUGAGCUGUGCACCAAGCAUCUCUGCAUUUCCAAUGUAUAGGCUAUGCUUUGCUGACAAAUGAAAU